AGUGAACGCUGGCGGUAGGCCUAACACAUGCAAGUCGAACGGCAGCACAGUAAGAGCUUGCUCUUACGGGUGGCGAGUGGCGGACGGGUGAGGAAUACAUCGGAAUCUACUUUUUCGUGGGGGAUAACGUAGGGAAACUUACGCUAAUACCGCAUACGCCCUACGGUUGAAAGCAGUGGAUCUUCGCACCUUGCGCGAUUGAAUGAGCCGAUGUCGGAUUAGCUAGUUGGCGGGGUAAAGGCCCACCAAGGCGACGAUCCGUAGCCGGUCUGAGAGGAUGAUCAGCCACACUGGAACUGAGACACGGUCCAGACUCCUAAGGGAGGCAGCAGUGGGGAAUAUUGGACAAUGGGCGCAAGCCUGAUCCAGCCAUACCGCGUGGGUGAAGAAGGCCUUCGGGUUGUAAAGCCCUUUUGUUGGGAAAGAAAAGCAGCAGGUUAAGACCCCGCUGUUCUGACGGUACCCAAAGAAUAAGCACCGGCUAACUUCGUG
rnacentral:rRNA from 1 species